rnacentral:rRNA from 1 species
GACGAACGCUGGCGGCGUGCUUAACACAUGCAAGUCGAACGGAAAGGCCCUGCGGUUGUGGGGUGCUCGAGUGGCGAACGGGUGAGUAACACGUGAGUAACCUGCCCUUGACUUUGGGAUAACUUCAGGAAACUGGGGCUAAUACCGGAUAGGAGCUCCUGCUGCAUGGUGGGGGUUGGAAAGUUUCGGCGGUUGGGGAUGGACGCGCGGCUUAUCAGCUUGUUGGUGGGGUAGUGGCUUACCAAGGCUUUGACGGGUAGCCGGCCUGGGAGGGUGACCGGCCACAUUGGGCCUGAGCUACGGCCCAGACUCCUACGGGAGGCAGCAGUGGGGUAUACUGCACAAUGGGCGGAAGCCUGAUGCAGCAACGCCGCGUGCGGGAUGACGGCCUUCGGGUUGUAAACCGCUUUCGCCUGUGACGAAGCGUGAGUGACGGUAAUGGGUAAAGAAGCACCGGCUAACUACGUG